AACACGCUCCCUUAGAUCCACCCCUGGGGAGCGUCCUGGGCCGCGUGCUGCUGCUGCUUCCUCUAUCUGGGAGUCCAGCAGCUCCGGCCAGGGGGCUCCCAGCAACUUGACGGUUGCACAGUCGGGGGUGCUUGAGUCAUAGGCGUGUGAGAGCAGUCCACCUGCACACCAGCCCCCUGCUGUACUGGACACCGGCCGGCCCCGCGCCCCCCGGAGCACGCCAGUACAGCCAGGCUGGUGGGCGGACAAG
ensembl:snoRNA